ensembl:miRNA
AGUGAAUCCCUAGUGGCCAGAGGGCUUAUGAUAUAUUGUGAGAGCCAUGUCAUAAGCCCUUUGGCCACUAGGGAUUCAGU